GUCUCAGUUCGGAUUGAAGGCUGAAAUUCGCCUUCAUGAAGCCGGAAUUGCUAGUAAUGGCAGGUCAGCAUACUGCCGUGAAUACGUUCCUGGGCCUUGUACACACCGCCCGUCACACCAUGAGAGUUGGGAAUACCCGAAGCCUGUGAGCUAACUUUUAGAGGCAGCAGUCGAAGGUAGAAUCAAUGAUUGGGGUGAAGUCGUAACAAGGUAGC
rnacentral:rRNA from 1 species